AUGAAGUUUACUUCCCAUAAUCAUUUAGCGUUAUUCCCUUACCAUGUCGUAUCUGGAAUCUUGUUUGUGUUUCGGGCCGGGCAAAUUAAGGGGUGACCCGUAGGUACAAAAGCGUCCUUGUUUCCUUAAAUAAUUUUUAUUUUCUUCAGUAAUCUUUUUCAGACUCCGGUUAGUGUAGAUGGUUUAGCAGUGGAUAAUGCUGCUGACCCUGUUUUAGAAGCAAAAUACAGAGACAAGCUCUUUACGCAGGCUUAUGCCCUUGUAGUGGAUACAUUUGACAGAAUGGACAUUGUUUUUCAUGACAUUAAAACUGCGGAGUUGAAGUUAGCAGAGUAGAGCGUUUGCUGCCCAAUUACUUAGAACCAACUGUAUUUAUAUCAAGUCUUGUUACAGCAAAAUUAAAUAUGGUGUUGUUUA